UACGUAGGGUGCAAGCGUUAAUCGGAAUUACUGGGCGUAAAGCGUGCGCAGGCGGUUUUGUAAGUCUGUCGUGAAAGCCCCGGGCUCAACCUGGGAAUUGCGAUGGAGACUGCAAGGCUUGAAUCUGGCAGAGGGGGGGUGGAAUUCCACGUGUAGCAGUGAAAUGCGUAGAGAUGUGGAGGAACACCGAUGGCGAAGGCAGCCCCCCUGGGCCAACACUGACGCUCAGGCACGAAAGCGUGGGGAGCAAACAGG
rnacentral:rRNA from 1 species